rnacentral:rRNA from 1 species
GACGAACGCUGGCGGCGUGCUUAACACAUGCAAGUCGAGCGGUAAGGCCCUUUCGGGGGUACACGAGCGGCGAACGGGUGAGUAACACGUGGGUGACCUGCCCUUACGCUCUGGGAUAAGCCUGGGAAACUGGGUCUAAUACCGGAUAUGACCUCAUGACUCAUGUUGUGGGGUGGAAAGCCUUGUGCGGCUAGGGAUGGGCCCGCGGCCUAUCAGCUUGUUGGUGGGGGUAAUUGCCUACCAAGGCGACGACGGGUAGCCGGCCUGAGAGGGCGACCGGCCACACUGGGACUGAGACACGGCCCAGACUCCUACGGGAGGCAGCAGUGGGGAAUCUUGCGCAAUGGGCGAAAGCCUGACGCAGCGACGCCGCGUGAGGGAUGAC